AUGCAAGUCUUAGCACAAGCCGUUAGUAUGGUAAAGCCGCGAAUAGCUCAUUACAACAGCCAUAGUUUACUAGAUAGUUCAUUACUACAUGGAUAACUGUGGUAAUUCUAGAGCUAAUACAUGCAACAAACGGCACCCUUAUGGGAGCCGCGCUUUUAUUAGAACAAAACCAAUCGCUUCAGUGCUUCGGCAUUGUUGCGUAAUUUGGUGAGUCUGAAUAACUUGGCAGAUCGCACGGUCUAGCACCGGCGACGAAUCUUUCAAAUGUCUGCCUUAUCAACUGUCGAUGGUAGUUUACAUGCCUACCAUGGUGAUAACGGGUAACAGAGAAUAAGGGUUUGACUCUGGAGAGGCAGCCUGAGAGACGGCUACCACAUCCAAGGAAGGCAGCAGGCACGCAAAUUACCCACUCUCAGAACGAGGAGGUAGUGACGAAAAAUAACGAGGUCGUUUCCUUAUGGAGCCGACCAUCGGAAUGGGUACAAUCUAAAUCCUUUAACGAGGAUCUAUUGGAGGGCAAGUCUGGUGCCAGCAGCCGCGGUAAUUCCAGCUCCAAUAGCGUAUAUUAAAGUUGUUGCGUUUAAAAAGCUCGUAGUUGGAUCUACGGCCUCGGCGGAUUGUCCCCCUAAUUGGGUGGUACUUUCUGACCAGGCCUUUUUUGUCGGUUUUCCCUUGGUGCUCUUAAUUGAGUGUCUUGGGUGGCUGACACGUUUACUUUGAAAAAAUUAGAGUUCUCAAAGCAGGAGAUUAAGCCUGAAUAGUGGUGCAUGGAAUAAUAGAAUAUGAUCCGCGUGGUCGUCGUGGCUUCGGCUAUGGCGAUCGCCUACGGUACUAUUUUGUUGGUUUUCGGUACACGGAUAAUGAUUAAGAGGGACAGACGGGGGCAUUCGUAUUGCGUGGUUAGAGGUGAAAUUCUUGGAUCCACGCAAGACGUACUACUGCGAAAGCAUUGCCA
rnacentral:rRNA from 1 species